GAUGAACGCUGGCGGCGUGCCUAAUACAUGCAAGUCGAGCGAACAGACGAGGAGCUUGCUCCUCUGACGUUAGCGGCGGACGGGUGAGUAACACGUGGAUAACCUACCUAUAAGACUGGGAUAACUUCGGGAAACCGGAGCUAAUACCGGAUAACAUGUUGAACCGCAUGGUUCAACAGUGAAAGACGGUUUUGCUGUCACUUAUAGAUGGACCCGCGUCGCAUUAGCUAGUUGGUAAGGUAACGGCUUACCAAGGCAACGAUGCGUAGCCGCCCUGAGAGGGUGAUCGGCCACACUGGAACUGAGACACGGUCCAGACUCCUACGGGAGGCAGCAGUAGGGAAUCUUCCGCAAUGGGCGAAAGCCUGACGGAGCAACGCCGCGUGAGUGAAGAAGGUCUUCGGAUCGUAAAACUCUGUUAUUAGGGAAGAACAAAUGUGUAAGUAACUAUGCACGUCUUGACGGUACCUAAUCAGAAAGCCACGGCUAACUACGUG
rnacentral:rRNA from 1 species